GGCUCGGUGGUGGAUGGUCUACACCUGUGUUCCCUAUGUGUUCUAGACCAUAUCAGCAGGUAAAGCCUGUUCGAAUCAGGCCCGAGCCA